GGGAAAUCGCGGUCUUUUCCUUAUUGCAGUAAAAGUUCUCAGUGAGGAAACAAUACCGUAUCACACUCGUGAUUAUUUCUCCCCUUUUUCAGGGGCGUAACAUUUUUGGAGGCUCCGCUGAGAUUGCUGCUCAGAUGUCCAGUUUCCACAUCCUGGUCGCUGAAUUCCGAGCCAGCUAAAUCCUCACAUAACUCAGGCAGGCUGCAGUGAGGAAAGUGUUGCUGUUCAAGGGGAGCUGGAAGUUGGUGGUUAAGUACGUGUCAGCUGAGGCCAUUGAUCGACCAUCAGAGACAGAUGAGGGCCAUAGACCCCAGGAGGAAGGAGGAGGGCCAUGGACCCCAGGAGGAAGG
rnacentral:lncRNA from 1 species